GGAUCAGGUAGGAAUACCCGCUGAACUUAAGCAUA
rnacentral:rRNA from 1 species